UAGUCCCUACGGGAGGCAGCAGUGAGGAAUAUUGGUCAAUGGACGAGAGUCUGAACCAGCCAAGUAGCGUGAAGGAUGACUGCCCUAUGGGUUGUAAACUUCUUUUAUAUGGGAAUAAAGUUUUCCACGUGUGGAAUUUUGUAUGUACCAUAUGAAUAAGGAUCGGCUAACUCCGUGCCAGCAGCCGCGGUAAUACGGAGGAUCCGAGCGUUAUCCGGAUUUAUUGGGUUUAAAGGGAGCGUAGGUGGAUUGUUAAGCCAGUUGAGAAAGUUGGCGGCU
rnacentral:rRNA from 1 species